rnacentral:rRNA from 1 species
CCUGCGGAAGGAUCAUUAGUGAAUAACUCUUGAGGCAUGCCCUAACGGGUGUGCUUCUGGUCUGAUGGAGCCCCGUCUCCUGAAGAUUUAUGUUUUUUUACAUCCAUAACACCUGUGAACUGUUGGAGACUUUGGUUGGGCUUCGGCUCUUCCACUGGCUCUUAUUAUACCAAACUACGUAUUGUAACAAAUGUAAACUUAUUUUAAACAAAAUAAAACUUUUAACAACGGAUCUCUUGGCUCUCGCAUCGAUGAAGAACGCAGCGAAAUGCGAUAAGUAAUGUGAAUUGCAGAAUUCAGUGAAUCAUCGAAUCUUUGAACGCACCUUGCGCUCCUUGGUAUUCCGAGGAGCAUGCCUGUUUGAGUGUCAUGUAAACCAUCAACCUUGGUUUUGGGGUCAUUCCUGAAGCCUCGGUUGGACUUGGGUGUUUGCCAGUGAUGAGCUGGCUCACCUUAAAUGUAUUAGUGGUUGUCAUGAAGACGAUUUGACUUGGCGUGAUAAGUAUUAUCGCUGAGGACAUCUUUCGAGAUGGUCGACUUUGUGUUGCAGUCUGCUUUACCCUUUCUUGCUUCAUUGCUUGAAAAUAUUUUUGACAUUUGGGCCUCAAAUCAGGGUGGGACUACCCGCCUGAACUUAAAGCAUAUUAAU